AUCGAACGCUGGCGGCAGGCCUAACACAUGCAAGUCGAGCGAGCGGCGGACGGGUGAGUAAUGUCUGGGAAACUGCCUGAUGGAGGGGGAUAACUACUGGAAACGGUAGCUAAUACCGCAUACCAUCAGAUGUGCCCAGAUGGGAUUAGCUAGUAGGUGGGGUAACGGCUCACCUAGGCGACGAUCCCUAGCUGGUCUGAGAGGAUGACCAGCCACACUGGAACUGAGACACGGUCCAGACUCCUACGGGAGGCAGCAGUAGGGAAUAUUGCACAAUGGGCGCAAGCCUGAUGCAGCCAUGCCGCGUGUGUGAAGAAGGCCUUCGGUUUGUAAAGCUCUGUCAGCGGGGAGGCGUUACCCGCACAGGAAGCACCGGCUAACUCCGUGCCAGCAGCCGCGGUAAUUC
rnacentral:rRNA from 1 species